AAUAUGUCCAUCCCAUUGCAACGGGAUACCGUUUUGCAGCAGCCCUCUUUUAUUUAUAAUUUUUUAUGAUUAGUAUUUUUAUUGUUAUUAGAUGAUAAGACAUAAAUAGUACUUUAUGAUGCCUGACUUGUGUUUUUUUAAUUUUUUCUAAAAAAUUUUUAAAUAAGAUAGAUGAUCAAACUUAGACACGAAAACUCAUGGCUACGUUUAAA
rfam:Oryza glumipatula chromosome 2, whole genome shotgun sequence.